GGGGUAACAAACAAAAACUGACGGAAACGCAUAAAUAUAAGAGGAGAACAACGACACAACACUACAAUGUCACUAACACACACAGAAACGGACCAAGCAUCAGACAAAAUCCCACGAGAAUAACAAAUAUAACAUCAAAACCAAAUACAUGGAUUUGGGAUAGACAAGUACCGUGACACGUCUUAUCGCAAUGUCAAUUUACACUCAAAAAUAAGAGAAAACAAACGACGCAACGUUAAAUUAUAACACACACAUAAACGAACUAUACUAUAAGAAUGGCCAUAUUCCUGACUUGGUACAGGACAUUUUUAAAGGAAAAAAUGGUGGGUUGAACCUGGUUUUGUGGCAUGCCAAACCUUGCACUUUAAUGGCAAUGUUAAAUAUAACAUAGAAAUGACAACAUAAUAUUACAGGACUACAAUACAAAUAAAUAGGAAAACGUAUUAGACAAAGAAACACAUGAUUAAUGAAUAACAAAAAGCAUCAGGUUUAAAAUUUAAUACGCCAAAAACGCGCCUCGUCCACACAAGAC
rnacentral:lncRNA from 1 species